rnacentral:rRNA from 1 species
CAGCAGCCGCGGUAAUACCGGCGGCCCGAGUGGCGGCCACUAUUAUUGGGCUUAAAGCGUCCGUAGCCGGGUUGGUUAGUCUCCCGGGAAAUCUGGCCGCUUAACGGUCAGAAUUCCGGGAGAUACUGCCAGCCUAGGGACCGGGAGAGGCCGAGGGUAUUCCCGGAGUAGGGGUGAAAUCCUAUAAUCCCGGGAGGACCACCUGUGGCGAAGGCGCUCGGCUGGAACGGGUCCGACGGCGAGGGACGAAGGCCAGGGGAGCAAACCGGAUUAGAUACCCGGGUAGUCCUGGCUGUAAAGGAUGCGGGCUAGGUGUCGGGUGAGCUUCGGGCUCGCCCGGUGCCGUAGGGAAGCCGUUAAGCCCGCCGCCUGGGGAGUACGGCCGCAAGGCUGAAACUUAAAGGAAUUGGCGGG